rnacentral:rRNA from 1 species
CGUGGCGGACGGGUGAGUAACGCGUGGGUAACCUGCCUCAUACAGGGGGAUAACGGUUAGAAAUGACUGCUAAUACCGCAUAAGCGCACAGUACCGCAUGGUACGGUGUGAAAAACUCCGGUGGUAUGAGAUGGACCCGCGUCUGAUUAGCUGGUUGGUGGAGGUAACGCCCACCAAGGCGACGAUCAGUAGCCGACCUGAGAGGGUGACCGGCCACAUUGGGACUGAGACACGGCCCAA